GAAUCAUAGCUCAGUGGUAGCACAUCUGUUUUGCAUGCAGAAGUUCCCAGGUUCAAUUCUUGGGGAGCAGCU